rnacentral:rRNA from 1 species
CGGUCGCAAGAUUAAAACUCAAAGGAAUUGACGGGGACCCGCACAAGCGGUGGAUGAUGUGGAUUAAUUCGAUGCAACGCGAAAAACCUUACCUACCCUUGACAUGUCUGGAAAGCCGAAGAGAUUUGGCCGUGCUCGCAAGAGAACCGGAACACAGGUGCUGCAUGGCUGUCGUCAGCUCGUGUCGUGAGAUGUUGGGUUAAGUCCCGCAACGAGCGCAACCCUUGUCAUUAGUUGCUACGCAAGAGCACUCUAAUGAGACUGCCGGUGACAAACCGGAGGAAGGUGGGGAUGACGUCAAGUCCUCAUGGCCCUUAUGGGUAGGGCUUCACACGUCAUACAAUGGUCGGGACAGAGGGUCGCCAACCCGCGAGGGGGAGCCAAUCUCAGAAACCCGAUCGUAGUCCGGAUCGCAGUCUGCAACUCGACUGCGUGAAGUCGGAAUCGCUAGUAUC